UAAUGAUAAUAAUAAUAAUUAUGAUGAUGAUGAGGAUGAUGAUGCUGCUAUUGUUCCUGUCAUCAUCAUCAUCAUCAUCAUUAUUAUUAUUAUUA
rnacentral:pre_miRNA from 1 species